rnacentral:lncRNA from 1 species
CCUUGAAUACUGGGGGAAAGCAGUUCAAUAAAAAUGGAAAGAUCUUAGGCAUACAGUCUCUCUGCAUUUGCACCUGCACAGGUAAGGCUAGAACACAGUUAUCUAGAAGGAUUUAUAUCUGCCAUACCCUUCAUUGCUCUCGGGUCACCUGAUGAAAUUCAUUGAAGAAAAUACAUAUGGCAAAGUUUUCAUUCAACACCCUGAGUUCAUAUACAACGUAUUCUGGAGGCCAAAAUAAAGCAAGCUCAGCAGCUGUACUUUAUUUUACUUCGGGGGAAAAAAAAAAAAAGAAUUCUUGGUUCACAUGGGUUUAAGAAUCAAUCUGCUGAGUUAUUGGGACCUCAGGUGACUGAGGAAGGCCAGAGCACACAGAUACUCUGAAGCCUUAUAACUGAGACCCACUCCAGCAGUCCACCACCAAGGACAGCUACAGGGAAUGUGGGGGAGGCAGCUUCUCCCCUCCCUUCUGGAAUCUGGCCUGAGAAAGACCCUCUGCACCAGCCUGGCUCUGGAGCUCCAGGAUCCCUCCUUUUACAAGGUUAAAUCUACAAAGCACCCAAAUGGCACUUUUUGGGGAGGUAGAUGGCAACAAUGACCUG